rnacentral:rRNA from 1 species
AGCUACAGGCUUAACACAUGCAAGUCGAGGGGCAGCAUGGUCUUAGCUUGCUAAGGCCGAUGGCGACCGGCGCACGGGUGAGUAACACGUAUCCAACCUGCCGUCUACUCUUGGACAGCCUUCUGAAAGGAAGAUUAAUACAAGAUGGCAUCAUGAGUCCGCAUGUUCACAUGAUUAAAGGUAUUCCGGUAGACGAUGGGGAUGCGUUCCAUUAGAUAGUAGGCGGGGUAACGGCCCACCUAGUCUUCGAUGGAUAGGGGUUCUGAGAGGAAGGUCCCCCACAUUGGAACUGAGACACGGUCCAAACUCCUACGGGAGGCAGCAGUGAGGAAUAUUGGUCAAUGGGCGCAGGCCUGAACCAGCCAAGUAGCGUGAAGGAUGACUGCCCUAUGGGUUGUAAACUUCUUUUAUAAAGGAAUAAAGUCGGGUAUGGAUACCCGUUUGCAUGUACUUUAUGAAUAAGGAUCGGCUAGCUCCGUGCCAGCAGCCGCGGUAAUACGGAGGAUCCGAGCGUUAUCCGGAUUUAUUGGGUUUAAAGGGAGCGUAGAUGGAUGUUUAAGUCAGUUGUGAAAGUUUGCGGCUCAACCGUAAAAUUGCAGUUGAUACUGGAUAUCUUGAGUGCAGUUGAGGCAGGCGGAAUUCGUGGUGUAGCGGUGAAAUGCUUAGAUAUCACGAAGAACUCCGAUUGCGAAGGCAGCCUGCUAAGCUGCAACUGACAUUGAGGCUCGAAAGUGUGGGUAUCAAACAGGAUUAGAUACCCUGGUAGUCCACACGGUAAACGAUGAAUACUCGCUGUUUGCGAUAUACGGCAAGCGGCCAAGCGAAAGCGUUAAGUAUUCCACCUGGGGAGUACGCCGGCAACGGUGAAACUCAAAGGAAUUGACGGGGGCCCGCACAAGCGGAGGAACAUGUGGUUUAAUUCGAUGAUACGCGAGGAACCUUACCCGGGCUUAAAUUGCAGAUGAAUUACGGUGAAAGCCGUAAGCCGCAAGGCAUCUGUGAAGGUGCUGCAUGGUUGUCGUCAGCUCGUGCCGUGAGGUGUCGGCUUAAGUGCCAUAACGAGCGCAACCCUUGUUGUCAGUUACUAACAGGUUCUGCUGAGGACUCUGACAAGACUGCCAUCGUAAGAUGUGAGGAAGGUGGGGAUGACGUCAAAUCAGCACGGCCCUUACGUCCGGGGCUACACACGUGUUACAAUGGGGGGUACAGAGGGCCGCUACCACGCGAGUGGAUGCCAAUCCCAAAAACCUCUCUCAGUUCGGACUGGAGUCUGCAACCCGACUCCACGAAGCUGGAUUCGCUAGUAAUCGCGCAUCAGCCACGGCGCGGUGAAUACGUUCCCGGGCCUUGUACACACCGCCCGUCAAGCCAUGGGAGCCGGGGGUACCUGAAGUGCGUAACCGCGAGGAGCGCCCUAGGGUAAAACUGGUGACUGGGGCUAAGUA